GUUGGGAGCUCUCCCAUAUGGUCGACCUGCAGGCGGCCGCGAAUUCACUAGUGAUUAGAGUUUGAUCAUGGCUCAGAACGAACGCUGGCGGCAUGCCUAACACAUGCAAGUCGAACGAAGGCUUCGGCCUUAGUGGCGCACGGGUGCGUAACGCGUGGGAAUCUGCCCCUUGGUUCGGAAUAACAGUUAGAAAUGACUGCUAAUACCGGAUGACGACGUAAGUCCAAAGAUUUAUCGCCGAGGGAUGAGCCCGCGUAGGAUUAGCUAGUUGGUGUGGUAAAGGCGCACCAAGGCGACGAUCCUUAGCUGGUCUGAGAGGAUGAUCAGCCACACUGGGACUGAGACACGGCCCAGACUCCUACGGGAGGCAGCAGUGGGGAAUAUUGGACAAUGGGCGAAAGCCUGAUCCAGCAAUGCCGCGUGAGUGAUGAAGGCCUUAGGGUUGUAAAGCUCUUUUACCCGGGAUGAUAAUGACAGUACCGGGAGAAUAAGCUCCGGCUAACUCCGUGCCAGCAGCCGCGGUAAUACGAAUCGAAUUCCCGCGGCCGCCAUGGCGGCCGGGAGCAUGCGAC
rnacentral:rRNA from 1 species